rnacentral:rRNA from 2 species
GACGAACGCUGGCGGCGUGCCUAACACAUGCAAGUCGAACGGAGAAGUUGAUUUCGGUUGACUUCUUAGUGGCGAACGGGUGAGUAACGCGUGAACAACCUGACCUCAAGAGGGGGAUACCAACGAGAAAUCGUUGUUAAUACCGCAUAAGACCACAGCGCCGCAUGGCAAAGGGGUCAAAGGAGCAAUCCGCUUGAGGAGGGGUUCGCGUCCCAUUAGGUAGUAGGCGGGGUAACGGCCCACCUAGCCAGCGAUGGGUAGCCGAGCUGAGAGGCUGAACGGCCACACUGGAACUGAGACACGGUCCAGACUCCUACGGGAGGCAGCAGUGGGGAAUAUUGGGCAAUGGGCGCAAGCCUGACCCAGCAACGCCGCGUGAGGGAAGAAGGUUUUCGGAUUGUAAACCUCUGUCGCAGAUGACGAAGGAAGUGACGGUAAUCUGUGAGGAAGCCCCGGCUAACUACGUG